rnacentral:rRNA from 1 species
GACGAACGCUGGCGGCGUGCUUAACACAUGCAAGUCGAACGGAAAGGCCCCUUUGGGGGUACUCGAGUGGCGAACGGGUGAGUAACACGUGAGUAACCUGCCCUUGACUUCGGGAUAACUUCAGGAAACUGGGGCUAAUACCGGAUAGGAAUCCUUGCUGCAUGGUGGGGGUUGGAAAGCUUCGGCGGUUUUGGAUGGACUCGCGGCUUAUCAGCUUGUUGGUGGGGUAGUGGCUUACCAAGGCUUUGACGGGUAGCCGGCCUGAGAGGGCGACCGGCCACAUUGGGACGGAGAUACGGCCCAGACUCCUACGGGAGGCAGCAGUGGGGAAUAUUGCACAAUGGGCGGAAGCCUGAUGCAGCAACGCCGCGUGCGGGAUGACGGCCUUCGGGUUGUAAACCGAUUUCAGCAGGGGCGAAGCUUGUGGUGACGGUACCUGCAGAAGAAGCACCGGCUAACUACGUG